rnacentral:rRNA from 1 species
GACGAACCGUCCAAACGUUAUUCGGAAUCACUGGGCUUACAGAGUUCGUAGGCGGUCUGGAAAGUUGGGUGUGAAAUCCCUCGGCUCAACCGAGGAACUGCGCUUGAAACUACCAGACUCGAGGGAGAUAGAGGAAAGCGGAACUGAUGGUGGAGCGGUGAAAUACGUAGAUAUCGUUUGGAACGCCAAUGGUGAAAACAGGUUGCUGGGAGUGUGCUGACGCUGAGACACGAAAGCCAGGGGAGCAAACGGG